rnacentral:rRNA from 1 species
AUUGAACGCUGGCGGCAUGCUUUACACAUGCAAGUCGAACGAGUGGCCAACGGGUGAGUAAUAUCUUGGACCGUAUCGACUUAUGGGGGAUAACCCCUCGAAAGAUUGGCUAAUACCGCAUAUCAUUCGAGUGGCCGAUAACUGAUUAGCUAGUUGGUGGGGUAAAGGCCUACCAAGGCGACGAUCAGUAGAGGGUCUGAGAGGACGAUCCGCCACACUGGAACUGAGACACGGCCCAGACUCCUACGGGAGGCAGCAGUGGGGAAUUUUGGACAAUGGGGGCAACCCUGAUCCAGCCAUGCCGCGUGUAUGAAGAAGGCCUUCGGGUUGUAAAGUACUUUUGUUAGGGAAGCGGUACCUAAAGAAUAAGCACCGGCUAACUACGUGCCAGCAGCCGCGGUAAUUC